AACGGCCAUACCAUGCUGAAUAUACCGGUUCUCGUUAGAUCACCGAGUCAAGCAUCAUUGGGCGCGCGGUCAGUACUUGGGUGGGUGACCACCUGGGAACACGGCAUGCUGUU